rnacentral:tRNA from 1 species
GGCGCGAUGGCAGAGUGGCUUAUGCACGGGAUUGCAAAUCCCGGGACCCCGGUUCGAUUCCGGGUCGCGCCU